rnacentral:rRNA from 1 species
AUUGAACGCUGGCGGCAUGCUUCACACAUGCAAGUCGAACGGUAACAGGCCGCAAGGUGCUGACGAGUGGCGAACGGGUGAGUAAUGCAUCGGAACGUGCCCAGUCGUGGGGGAUAACGCAGCGAAAGCCGUGCUAAUACCGCAUACGAUCUAUGGAUGAAAGCGGGGGACCGUAAGGCCUCGCGCGAUUGGAGCGGCCGAUGUCAGAUUAGGUAGUUGGUGGGGUAAAGGCUCACCAAGCCAACGAUCUGUAGCUGGUCUGAGCGGACGACCAGCCACACUGGGACUGAGACACGGCCCAGACUCCUACGGGAGGCAGCAGUGGGGAAUUUUGGACAAUGGGCGCAAGCCUGAUCCAGCAAUGCCGCGUGCAGGAAGAAGGCCUUCGGGUUGUAAACUGCUUUUGUACGGAACGAAACGGUCUGGGUUAAUACCCUGGGCUAAUGACGGUACCGUAAGAAUAAGCACCGGCUAACUACGUGCCAGCCGCCGCAGUAAGAC